rnacentral:rRNA from 1 species
UACGAAGGGGGCUAGCGUUGCUCGGAAUCACUGGGCGUAAAGGGUGCGUAGGCGGGUUUUUAAGUCAGGGGUGAAAUCCUGGAGCUCAACUCCAGAACUGCCUUUGAUACUGAAGAUCUUGAGUCCGGGAGAGGUGAGUGGAACCGCGAAUGUAGAGGUGAAAUUCGUAGAUAUUCGCAAGAACACCAGUGGCGAAGGCGGCUCACUGGCCCGGUACUGACGCUGAGGCACGAAAGCGUGGGGAGCAAACAGG